UACGGGGGAGCAAGCGUUGUUCGGAUUUACUGGCGUAAAGGGCGCGUAGGCGGUCGUGACAAGUCACUUGUGAAAUCUCCGGGCUUAACUCGGAACGGUCAAGUGAUACUGUCGGACUAGAGUACAGAAGGGGCAACUGGAAUUCUCGGUGUAGCGGUGAAAUGCGCAGAUAUCGAGAGGAACACCUGCGGCGAAGGCGGGUUGCUGGGCUGAUACUGACGCUGAGGCGCGAAAGCUAGGGGAGCGAACGGG
rnacentral:rRNA from 1 species